rnacentral:rRNA from 1 species
AGAGUUUGAUCCUGGCUCAGGGCUAACGCUGGCGGCGUGUCUUAGCCAUGCAAGUCGAGCGGACUUAUGGGGUAACUUAUAAGUCAGCGGCGGACGGCGGAGUAACACGUAGCUAACCUACCCUCUGGACGGGGAUAACCUACCGAAAGGUGGGCUAAUACCCGAUGUAGUCAUCCUGUAUAGGGGUGAUGAAAGGUGGGCUUCUGUUUACAAGCUCAUGCUGGAGGAGGGGGCUGCGGCCUAUCAGGUAGUUGGUAGGGUAAUAGCCUACCAAGCCGAUGACGGGUAGCCGGCCUGAGAGGGUGACCGGCCCGAGGGGCACUGAGAUACGGGUCCCACUCCUACGGGAGGCAGCAGGCUAGAAAUUUGGGCAGUGGGGGAAACCCUGACCCAGUGACGCCGCGUGCAGGAAGGAGCCCUUCGGGGUGUAAACUGCUGUCGUGUAGGGAGAAGGGUACUAAGGUGAACAAUCUUAGUACUUGACGGUACUACAGGAGGAAGCCCAGGCUAACCUCGUGCCAGCAGCCGCGGUAAUACGGGGUGGGCGAGCGUUGCCCGGAAUUACUGGGUUUAAAGGGGGUGUAGGCGGUCUGGAUAGUCGGGUGUGUAAUGCAAUCGCUCAACGAUUGAGCUGCAUCUGAUACUUCCAGGCUAGAGGGCGGUAGAGGAGAGCGGAACUCCCGGUGUAGCGGUGAAAUGCGUAGAUAUCGGGAGGAACGCCGGUGGCGAAGGCGGCUCUCUGGGCCGUUCCUGACGCUGAGGCCCGAAAGCUGGGGGAGCGAAAGGGAUUAGAUACCCCUGUAGUCCCAGCCGUAAACGAUGGGCACUAGGUGUACCUUUUAACGGAGGUAUACCGUCGGGAAACCAAUAAGUGCCCCACCUGGGGAGUACGCCCGCAAGGGUGAAACUCAAAUGAAUUGACGG